UACGGGGGGGGCAAGCGUUGUUCGGAAUUACUGGCGUAAAGGGCUCGUAGGCGGCCAACUAAGUCAUACGUGAAAUCCCUCGGCUUAACCGGGGAACUGCGUCUGAUACUGGAUGGCUUGAGAUUGGGAGAGGGACGGUGGAAUUCCGGGUGUAGUGGUGAAAUGACGUAGAGAUCCGGAGGAACCCCAGAGGCGAAGGCGGCGUCCGUGGCUCGGCAUCUGACGCUCAGACACGACAGCAUGGGGGAGCGAACGGG
rnacentral:rRNA from 1 species